AUUGAACGCUGGCGGCAGGCCUAACACAUGCAAGUCGAGCGGAUGAAGGGAGCUUGCUCCUGGAUUCAGCGGCGGACGGGUGAGUAAUGCCUAGGAAUCUGCCUGGUAGUGGGGGAUAACGUCCGGAAACGGGCGCUAAUACCGCAUACGUCCUGAGGGAGAAAGUGGGGGAUCUUCGGACCUCACGCUAUCAGAUGAGCCUAGGUCGGGUCAGCUAGUUGGUGGGGUAAAGGCCUACCAAGGCGACGAUCCGUAACUGGUCUGAGAGGAUGAUCAGUCACACUGGAACUGAGACACGGUCCAGACUCCUACGGGAGGCAGCAGUGGGGAAUAUUGGACAAUGGGCGAAAGCCUGAUCCAGCCAUGCCGCGUGUGUGAAGAAGGUCUUCGGAUUGUAAAGCACUUUAGGUUGGGAGGAAGGGCAGUAAGUUAAUACCUUGCUGUUUUGACGUUACCAACAGAAUAAGCACCGGCUAACUUCGUG
rnacentral:rRNA from 1 species